rnacentral:rRNA from 1 species
UCAACUUGAGAGUUUGAUCCUGGCUCAGAACGAACGCUGGCGGCAGGCCUAACACAUGCAAGUCGAGCGAGACCUUCGGGUCUAGCGGCGGACGGGUUAGUAACGCGUGGGAACGUGCCCUUCUCUGCGGAAUAGCCACUGGAAACGGUGAGUAAUACCGCAUACGCCCUUCGGGGGAAAGAUUUAUCGGAGAAGGAUCGGCCCGCGUUAGAUUAGAUAGUUGGUGGGGUAAUGGCCUACCAAGUCUACGAUCUAUAGCUGGUUUUAGAGGAUGAUCAGCAACACUGGGACUGAGACACGGCCCAGACUCCUACGGGAGGCAGCAGUGGGGAAUCUUAGACAAUGGGCGCAAGCCUGAUCUAGCCAUGCCGCGUGUGUGAUGAAGGUCUUAGGAUCGUAAAGCACUUUCGCCAGGGAUGAUAAUGACAGUACCUGGUAAAGAAACCCCGGCUAACUCCGUGCCAGCAGCCGCGGUAAUACGGAGGGGGUUA